rnacentral:lncRNA from 7 species
CCUGAACAGAUCCUAUCUCAAGGUCUUGUUUGCAAUGCCGAUAUGGAGUGGAAAUGUUUAAAUGCUCUGCUGGGCCCAACAUACAUUGGUUCUCCUGGAGCUGCAAUGUCUUGAGCUGGAGGAGAAAUGAGAGAUCAUCUGAAAUCUGCAUGGAUGAAGGUCGGACUGUGCCCCAAAGCCUGGUGACUCCUCCCCAGCUGUACCCAGCAGCAAAAGGAAGAGGAUCAUCACUAACUUUUAUGAAUGUCAAAUACAUACAGCUUUAAACGCAGUAUUGAUGUUGCCUUCACGUGUCAUCUGUGGCUGCUUGUGUGGAGCGAUGAGCUACUUGGAGCUCUGCUUCAGAAAAGCAGUAGUGGGGUGAUGAAGAUUGUGAAGGACAAGGUAGAAUUUAGAUAUAGCCGCUGAGCAAGAAAACGGUGCUGCCUUCUCCUUGAGCAGCUCAAGCCUGAAAGUUACCCUGAGAACAGACGGCUAAGGCUUGCCUUACCGACCAGCAUCAUCUCUUCUCUGUUUGUCCUUGAUACAGAUGCUCUGCCUACUCUGACUUUACUCAAAUUAGAUUGGCCAAAGUAUUGAGAUCUUUCUUUUCUUUUCCUCCAGCUUGGCUCCACUUUCUCCUUUUUGUGCUUCUCCAGUAUAAUGUAAGAGUCAAUGGGAAAAGUCUCUGGGGGAAGAUGAUGUCCUAAGAGAUGCACUUCAUGUACUUAAUCAUCCUUGGAACUUUUAUUUUGCUUAAAGGACUAAAGCAAUAGCCUUCAGGGAAUAAUUAUAUGAAACACCAUGUGUGAGCAAAGUGUGAAAUGUCUCCAGUACCAACCAAAGCUAUAGAUAUUUUUAUUAAAUAUUAAUGCCAUGCAUUUAUGAAGGGUUUGCCAAGCAGAUGUUAAGCCGGCCUAUGUGGUAAUUUAAUUGAGCAAGGAACAUUUCCUGCCGUUUUUAUCAAUGUCAGACUUUACAUGACAUUUUAAACUAAAAAUAUAAAACGGAGAAAGAGAGAGGGGAAAAAAAAUAAUUAAUAAUCAGUUUCCAUUCAUGACUAUCUGUUAAUAUUUCCCCUCAGAGGAUUUAAUGUUUCUCCUGAAUGUUUUUCUUGGAGGCUGAUACGAAUCUGAGCUAACCUAGACUCUGUGCAAAUUCUUCCACAGGGCCUCUAUCUGGAGCCUGGCCCACUCCUGGUAAUGCAAUUCUUACUUUUCUAUUUGUAAAAAGAUGAUGAUGAUGAUAAAAGCAAAGCCUAAAUUAUUCUGAAGACUCUGAGCUUGUGGGGCUCUGAGAAGACGUGUGGAUUGCUCCCUUCUCCCCUGCUCUGAGCAUUGCUUGAUGCUUAAAUGUCACAGUGGGAUCUUCCUGCUCAAAAACCUAUAGAGUGAUUAAACUUACUGAUGUUACACUC